rnacentral:lncRNA from 1 species
CCAGCUAUGCGCAAGGUUCGUAAGGACCCGACUACAAGGGUCUAUUAUAAGUAGCUUUAUUCGGAUUCAGUAUGCUAAAGCUCCAGCUAUGUGAAGGGUCCGAGUAAAGCCCCGACUACAAGGGUCUAUUGUAAGCAACCUUGCCCGGAUUCAGUAUGCUAAAGCUCUAGCUAUGUGCAAGGUCCGUGUAAGGGCCCGACUACAAUGGUCUAUUGUAAGUAGCCUUAUCUGAAUUCAGUAUGCUAAAGCUUCAGCUAUGUGCAGGGUCCGACUACAAGGGUCUAUUGUAAGCAACCUUAUCCGGAUUCAGUAUGCUAAAGCUCUGGCUAUGUGCAGGGUUCAGUAAAGGUUCGACUACAAGGGCCUAUUGUAACCAGCCAUUAUCUUGCAUUUCUACAAGGGUGCUGCUUCUAAGACCUGAAUCUGUGAGCUUCUUGCUGGUCACAUGCAACAAAUUUAAGAGUGACGCAUUAAUUACAAAUUUCUUGUUUUAAAUAGUACCUUGAUAUAAUAUAUUUGUCAAAUUUUCCUAUUGAUAAAAUCAUAAGAGUGAAAAAUUGAAUAUAUA